AGAGUUUGAUCCUGGCUCAGAAUCAACGCUGGCGGCGCGCUUAACACAUGCAAGUCGCACGAGAAAGUUGUGAAGGAGCAAUCUGGAUCAAUGAGUAAAGUGGCGUACGGGUGAGUAACACGUGGAUCAUCUACCUUUUAGUGGGGAAUACCUCCUGGAAACGGGAGACAAUACCGCAUAAGCUCGAAAGAGGAAAGCAGCAAUGCGCUGAAAGAGGAGUCCGCGGCCGAUUAGCUAGUUGGCGGGGUAACGGCCCACCAAGGCGAAGAUCGGUAGCCGGCCUGAGAGGGCUCACGGCCACACUGGCACUGAAACACGGGCCAGACUCCUACGGGAGGCAGCAGUGGGGAAUCUUGCACAAUGGAGGAAACUCUGAUGCAGCGACGCCGCGUGAGCGAUGAAGCCCUUCGGGGUGUAAAGCUCUUUCGACGGGAACGAUAAUGACGGUACCCGAAGAAGAAGCUGCGGCUAACUACGUGCCAGCAGCCGCGGUAAUACGUAGGCAGCAAGCGUUGUUCGGAAUUACUGGGCGUAAAGAGUGUGUAGGCGGUGCUCUAAGUCUGUCGUGAAAUCUCCCGGCUUAACUGGGAGGGUGCGGCGGAAACUGGAGUGCUCGAGGGUGGGAGAGGAAAGCGGAAUUCCUGGUGUAGCGGUGAAAUGCGUAGAUAUCAGGAGGAACACCUGCGGUGUAGACAGCUUUCUGGACCACUUCUGACGCUGAGACACGAAAGCGUGGGUAGCAAACAGGAUUAGAUACCCUGGUAGUCC
rnacentral:rRNA from 1 species